GCAUCAAUGGGGUAGUGGUAACCUGGGUCGUUGCCAUACCUGCGAAGAUACACUCUUCAAUUUAUCGACCCGCCGGGGGUUCGAUUCCCUCUUGAUGCA